CGUAUCACUUAAAGCGAUUCAGCGGGUUACGAUUGACGGAGCGAAGCGACGUCAAAGCGUAUACAAAGUCGAGUCGGUUUAAGGAUACGUUCGUUGGGUAGGGGAGCGUUCUGUAAGCCUGUGAAGGUGGCCUGUGAGGGUUGCUGGAGGUAUCAGAAGUGCGAAUGCUGACAUAAGUAACGAUAAAGCGGGUGAAAAGCCCGCUCGCCGGAAGACCAAGGGUUCCUGUCCAACGUUAAUCGGGGCAGGGUGAGUCGACCCCUAAGGCGAGGCCGAAAGGCGUAGUCGAUGGGAAACGGGUUAAUAUUCCCGUACUUGGUGUUACUGCGAAGGGGGGACGGAGAAGGCUAUGUUGGCCGGGCGACGGUUGUCCCGGUUUAAGCGUGUAGGUGUGUGUUCCAGGUAAAUCCGGUUCACUUUAACACUGAGGCGUGACGACGAGGCACUACGGUGCUGAAGCAACAAAUGCCCUGCUUCCAGGAAAAGCCUCUAAGCAUCAGGUAACAUCAAAUCGUACCCCAAACCGACACAGGUGGUCAGGUAGAGAAUACCAAGGCGCUUGAGAGAACUCGGGUGAAGGAACUAGGCAAAAUGGUGCCGUAACUUCGGGAGAAGGCACGCUGACAC
rnacentral:rRNA from 2 species